rnacentral:rRNA from 1 species
GAUGAACGCUGGCGGCGUGCCUAAUACAUGCCAGUCGAGCGAACAGACGCGGCUCUUGUUCCUCUCACGUUAGCGGCGGACGGGUGAGUAACACGUGGAUAACCUCCUUAUAUGACUGGGAUCUUUUCGGGAAACCGGAGCUAAUCCCGUAUAAUAUCUUGAACCGCAUUGUUCAAUGGUGAAUGACGGUUUUGCGGUCACUUAUAGCUGGUUCUGAGCCGCUUUAGCUAGUUGGUAAGUUAACGGCUUACCAGGGGGAGGAGGCGUAGCCGACGUGAGAGAGUGAUCGGCCACACUGGAACGGAGCCACGGACAAGACGACUACGGGAGGCAGCAGUAGGCAAUCGGCCGCAGUGGGCGAAAGCCUGACGGAGCAACGCGACGUGAGUGAUGAAGAUCUUCGGAUCGGAAAACUCGGUUAUUAGGGAAGAACAACUGUGUAAGUAGCCAUGGACGUCGUGACGGUACCUAAUCAGAAAGCCACGGCUAACUACGUG